rnacentral:rRNA from 1 species
AUGCGGAGCCGCAGCGAAAGCGAGUCUUAAGAGGGCGAAAUAGUCUGAGGUCGUGGACCCGAAACCGGGUGAUCUAGCCAUGAGCAGGUUGAAGUCGGGGUAAGACCCGAUGGAGGACCGAACCGACCCCCGUUGAAACGUUGGCGGAUGACUUGUGGCUAGGGGGGAAAUUCCAAUCGAACCCGGAGAUAGCUGGUUCUCCCCGAAAUAGCUUUAGGGCUAGCGUCGCAGCGAGAGAGCCGUGAAGGUAGAGCACUGAAUAUGCGAUGGCCGCAUCCCGCGGUACUGAGCAUAAUCAAACUCCGAAUGUCACGGUGUCAUCUGCGGCAGUCAGACGGCGAGUGAUAAGGUCCGUCGUCAAGAGGGAAACAGCCCAGACCAUCAGCUAAGGUCCCAAAGUGCAUGCUAAGUGGAAAAGGAAGUGGAGACGUGCAGACAACUAGGAGGUUGGCUCAGAAGCAGCCAUCCUUCAAAGAGUGCGUAACAGCUCACUAGUCGAAUGACUCUGCGCCGAUAAUUUACCGGGGCUAAGCAUGACACCGAAGCUAUGGACAGGAAUGUGGUAGGGGAGCAUUGCAUGCAGCGGAGAAGCAUGACCGAAAGGGCAUGUGGAGCGCAUGGAAGAGAGAAUGCCGGCGUGAGUAGCGGCACGUGGGUGAGAAUCCCACGCACCGAUGGCCCAAGGUCUCCAGAGGAAGGCUCGUCCUCUCUGGGAUAGUCGGGACCUAAGGCGAGGCCGAAAGGCGUAGCCGAUGGACGACGGGUGGAUAUUCCCGUACCCGAUGUGUGGCGAUGGAGUGACGGAGAAGGCUCAGGCAACCAGCUGGUGGAAUAGCUGGGGCAAGCGAGAUACCUGCGCACCAGGGAAAUCCGGUGCGCAUAAGGGGAAGGCGCGAUGCAUACGGAAAGCUUCGGCAAGUACGGAAAAGCUGAGAGCAGGCUUCCAGGAAAAGCUUCUAGCACAACACACAUCGGCCCGUACCGAAAAUGGACACACAUGGGCAAGGAGAGAAUCCUGAGGUGAGCGAGAGAACUAUAGCUAAGGAACUCUGCAAAAUGACCCCGUAACCUAGGGAGAAGGGGUGCUCCAGAAAUGGAGCCGCAGUAAAACGGCCCAAGCGACUGUUUACCAAAAACACAGCUCUCUGCGAAGGCGCAAGCCGAAGUAUAGGGGGUGACGCCUGCCCGGUGCUGGAAGGUCAAGGGGAGCUGUCAGCGCAAGCGAAGCAGCGAGCCGAAGCCCCAGUAAACGGCGGCCGUAACUAUAACGGUCCUAAGGUAGCGAAAUUCCUUGUCGGGCAAGUUCCGACCCGCACGAAAGGCGUAACGAUUUGGGCGCUGUCUCAGCUGUAGACUCGGUGAAGUCUUAGUACCUGUGAAGAUGCAGGUUGCCCGCGACUAGACGGAAAGACCCCAUGGAGCUUCACUGCAGGUUGACAUUGGGCUUGGAUGCAUGAUGUACAGGAUAGGUGGGAGGCUGUGAGCCGUGCGCGCCAGCGUACGGGGAGCCGCUGUUGGGAUACCACCCUUCAUGCAUCUAGGUCCUAACCGGAGGCAACGGGCCACGGGACAGUGUCAGUCGGGCAGUUUGACUGGGGCGGUCGCCUCCCAAAGAGUAACGGAGGCGCCCAAAGAUACCCUCAGCAUGGAUGGAAACCAUGCAUAGAGUGCAAAGGCAUAAGGGUGUCUGACUGCGAGACAUACAGGUCGGGCAGGGACGAAAGUCGGGCUUAGUGAUCCGGCGGAUCCGAAUGGAAGGGCCGUCGCUCAACGGAUAAAAGCUACCCUGGGGAUAACAGGCUGAUCUCCCCCAAGAGUUCACAUCGACGGGGAGGUUUGGCACCUCGAUGUCGGCUCAUCGCAUCCUGGAGCUGAAGUCGGUUCCAAGGGUUGGGCUGUUCGCCCAUUAAAGCGGUACGCGAGCUGGGUUCAGAACGUCGUGAGACAGUUCGGUCCCUAUCUGUCGUGGGCGCAGGAGGUUUGAGGAGAGCUGCCCCUAGUACGAGAGGACCGGGGUGGACGGACCGAUGGUGCACCAGUUGUCACGCCAGUGGCACAGCU